rnacentral:rRNA from 1 species
GCGUAAGCGCACGCAGGCGGUCUGUCAAGUCGGAUGUGAAAUCCCCGGGCUCAACCUGGGAACUGCAUUCGAAACUGGCAGGCUAGAGUCUUGUAGAGGGGGGUAGAAUUCCAGGUGUAGCGGUGAAAUGCGUAGAGAUCUGGAGGAAUACCGGUGGCGAAGGCGGCCCCCUGGACAAAGACUGACGCUCAGGUGCGAAAGCGUGGGGAGCAAACAGGAUUAGAUACCCUGGUAGUCCACGCCGUAAACGAUGUCGACUUGGAGGUUGUGCCCUUGAGGCGUGGCUUCCGGAGCUAACGCGUUAAGUCGACCGCCUGGGGAGUACGGCCGCAAGGUUAAAACUCAAAUGAAUUGACGGGGGCCCGCACAAGCGGUGGAGCAUGUGGUUUAAUUCGAUGCAACGCGAAGAACCUUACCUACUCUUGACAUCCAGAGAACUUUCCAGAGAUGGAUUGGUGCCUUCGGGAACUCUGAGACAGGUGCUGCAUGGCUGUCGUCAGCUCGUGUUGUGAAAUGUUGGGUUAAGUCCCGCAACGAGCGCAACCCUUAUCCUUUGUUGCCAGCGGUUAGGCCGGGAACUCAAAGGAGACUGCCAGUGAUAAACUGGAGGAAAGUGGGGAUGACGUCUAGUCAUCAUGGCCCUUACGAGUAGGGCUACACACGUGC